rnacentral:rRNA from 1 species
GAAUGCUGACAUAAGUAACGAUAAAGCGGGUGAAAAGCCCGCUCGCCGGAAGACCAAGGGUUCCUGUCCAACGUUAAUCGGGGCAGGGUGAGUCGACCCCUAAGGCGAGGCCGAAAGGCGUAGUCGAUGGGAAACGGGUUAAUAUUCCCGUACUUGGUGUUACUGCGAAGGGGGGACGGAGAAGGCUAUGUUGGCCGGGCGACGGUUGUCCCGGUUUAAGCGUGUAGGUGUGUGUUCCAGGUAAAUCCGGUUCACUUUAACACUGAGGCGUGACGACGAGGCACUACGGUGCUGAAGCAACAAAUGCCCUGCUUCCAGGAAAAGCCUCUAAGCAUCAGGUAACAUCAAAUCGUACCCCAAACCGACACAGGUGGUCAGGUAGAGAAUACCAAGGCGCUUGAGAGAACUCGGGUGAAGGAACUAGGCAAAAUGGUGCCGUAACUUCGGGAGAAGGCACGCUGACACGUAGGUGAAGUGAUUUACUCAUGGAGCUGAAGUCAGUCGAAGAUACCAGCUGGCUGCAACUGUUUAUUAAAAACACAGCACUGUGCAAACACGAAAGUGGACGUAUACGGUGUGACGCCUGCCCGGUGCCGGAAGGUUAAUUGAUGGGGUCAGCGCAAGCGAAGCUCCUGAUCGAAGCCCCGGUAAACGGCGGCCGUAACUAUAACGGUCCUAAGGUAGCGAAAUUCCUUGUCGGGUAAGUUCCGACCUGCACGAAUGGCGUAAUGAUGGCCAGGCUGUCUCCACCCGAGACUCAGUGAAAUUGAACUCGCUGUGAAGAUGCAGUGUACCCGCGGCAAGACGGAAAGACCCCGUGAACCUUUACUAUAGCUUGACACUGAACAUUGAGCCUUGAUGUGUAGGAUAGGUGGGAGGCUUUGAAGUGUGGACGCCAGUCUGCAUGGAGCCGACCUUGAAAUACCACCCUUUAAUGUUUGAUGUUCUAACGUGGACCCGUGAUCCGGGUUGCGGACAGUGUCUGGUGGGUAGUUUGACUGGGGCGGUCUCCUCCUAAAGAGUAACGGAGGAGCACGAAGGUUGGCUAAUCCUGGUCGGACAUCAGGAGGUUAGUGCAAUGGCAUAAGCCAGCUUGACUGCGAGCGUGACGGCGCGAGCAGGUGCGAAAGCAGGUCAUAGUGAUCCGGUGGUUCUGAAUGGAAGGGCCAUCGCUCAACGGAUAAAAGGUAC